UCCCUGGUGGUCCAGUGGUUAGGACUCCAUUUUCUCACUGCUGAGGGCCCAGGUUCAAUCCCUGGUCAGGGAC
rnacentral:tRNA from 1 species